GACGAACGCUGGCGGCGUGCCUAAUACAUGCAAGUCGAACGCAGUGGGGACGGGUGAAUACCACGUGGGUAACCUCCCAUCAGAGGGGAUAACCCUUGGACACAGGUGCUAAACCGAUACUGAUGGAUGGACCCGCGGUGCAUGAGCUAGUUGGGGAGGUAACGGCUCACCAAGGCCACGAUGCAUAGCCGGCCUGAGAGGGGGAUCGGCCAAACUGGGACGGAUACACGGCCCAGACUCCUACGGGAGGCAGCAGGAGGGAAUCUUCGGUAAUGGACGAAAGUCUGACCGAGCAACGCCGCGUGAGUGAAGAAGGGUUUCGGAGCGUAAAACUCUGUUGUUAGAGAAGCGGUAUCUAACCAGAAAGCCACGGCUAACUACGUGCCAGCAGCCGCGGUAAUAC
rnacentral:rRNA from 1 species